rnacentral:rRNA from 1 species
UUUGAUCCUGGCUCAGAAUGAACGUUGGCGGCGUGGAUUAGGCAUGCAAGUCGAACGAGAAUCCCCGCAAGGGGAGGAAAGUGGCGAAAGGGAGAGUAAUACGUAGGUACCUGCCCUCAGGUUCGGGAUAGCUGCGGGAAACUGCAAUUAAUACCGGAUGAUGUCUCUGGACCAAAGGUGUGAUUCCGCCAGAGGAUGGGCCUGCGUCCUAUCAGCUAGUUGGUGUGGUAAUGGCGCACCAAGGCGAAGACGGGUACGGGGUGUGAGAGCAUGCCCCCGCUCACUGGGACUGAGAUACUGCCCAGACACCUACGGGUGGCUGCAGUCGAGAAUCUUCCGCAAUGGGCGAAAGCCUGACGGAGCGACGCCGCGUGUGGGAUGAAGGCCUUCGGGUUGUAAACCACUGUCAGUGGGGAGCAAGUGCAUCAGGGUUAUCCCUGGUGUUUGAGCGAUCCGCAGAGGAAGCACAGGCUAAUUCCGUGCCAGCAGCCGCGGUAAUACGGAAUGUGCAAACGUUAUUCGGAAUCACUGGGCUUAAAGAGUCCGUAGGCGGCUUGUUAGGUGAGGUGUGAAAUCCCUCGGCCCAACCGAGGAAUUGCGCUUCAAACCGGCAAGCUAGAGGAGGAUAGAGGUGGGCGGAACUGAUGGUGGAGCGGUGAAAUGCGUUGAUAUCAUCAGGAACACCGGANGCGAANGCGGUCCACUGGGUCCUUUCUGACGCUGANGGACGAAAGCUAGGGGAGCGAACGGGAUUAGAUACCCCGGUAGUCCUAG